GUAUCUCCAAAAGUUGACUUCUUUUAUUUUUUAUAUAUCUGACAAAAGUAAAAAGAUAAUUCACUGUUUAUAAUAUAAGACCUUCAGUUGCUGGCAGGGAAUUAGAUGGCCCAUAAUUCACAGCUUAAAAGUGAAAAGGAAAGUCCUGCAUUCUUUUCAGUAAUUCAGAAAAUGCUGAGCUCAGGCUAAGUUCAAAUUUUUAUUCAUUGCAAAAAAUUAGAAGUUCAUCACAUAAGAGCUGUAUUACAAUAAUAUCAACUGUAAUCUUGAUUGAAAGGAGGGAGAAAUUUCUGGUUUUACAUUCAAGUGAAAAAAAACAGAAAUGAGGAGAAUUUGUGUGCACGUGGGACAGACAGGAGACAUUGGAAGAAAAAUGAACUAUCUUAGAAGACGAUUUUUAGUAGACAGUUAACUCUUAACUUCAAAGGGUGUUCUUUCUUCAGUCAUGCAAUUACAGCCAAAUAUUUUUGCUUGGAUCAGGUGAAAAAAUACUCUGUUUUCUUAGCUAUUGAGUUUUGAAAAUCCCCAUUGUCUUAUUACUGUGGACAAUAAUUCCACUAUGGGGCAGUGGCAGUGUGACAGAUCUUGCCCUUCUGCAGCUCUGACUGUCAGAUUACACUGAUCCAAGUUACUGUUUGCUACUAUUUUCUUUUCUGAGCAGCCACCUGUAAUUACUCAAAGUCUCAGCCUCACUUCAUUGUAAAUCAAGAAGUAUAGGCAUUUCUGAAAAUAAUCUGAAGGUCACAUCUGGAAGACGAGAAUAUAUUUUCCCAUAGAAGAUAUUGAAGGCUUUAUGAUUAUGCCAGAGCACACAGUUAGGUAUAUGGAACCAUUAAAGUUUGACAAGGCACAUGAUCUAGAUGAAUAACAUUCCCAAAUUCCAGAGGAAUCAUAAAGCAUGAGGAUAAUGCAAUCAUUUGACAGCCUUUAAAAGUGAAAAGCCUUUGGAUCUCAAGCUCUGGAUCUUAGAAUCAGCUAAGCAUGAAUGCUGAGAAAUACUGAACAGAGAAAGGUGAACAACUUGCAGGGUGAGGUGAUCAGAGGCAUGCAGCAAGGACAGAUUCAGUCUCUCCUAACCUGGAGAAGGGGAUGGGGAAGCCACAGGCACCUCCAGGCAGCAAUUCAUUAAUCUAAUAUGCCUUUUCAUUGCCCUGCAGAGGUGAGACUCUCUGCACUGAGAUGGAGGCCAAAUCAUUAGCAUGGACUAAAGCACCUCAUUUUUUGAAGGCUCAGAGUACUUUAGAGAGUUCCUGCCCAAAAGACUGACUCUGCAGGAGAGGGACAAAAAAGAAAAGCUUCAAGGAACAUUACCAGAUGAAUAAUAAGGGUGGAAGGACAAGAUGACUAGAACAGUAUCACAAGUUUGCUGGUUGGUUGCUUUUAAAUUUGUUGACAUAUUUCUAUUUUUUAAGACAUAGAACUUCCUCAUCCUAAUUAGUAAAUUGAUAUUAUUUAUUACUAAUAACAAACAAUUAUUUUUUAAACUAAGAAAUUUUAUAUGCCUGUCAUUGUAUCAGACUGUACAAUCAUGGAACACAAAGGGCAAAUUCUUUCUUUAGAUCCUUGAAGGUUCCUCAUUUCACAGGGAGCUAGGCACAGGUUUUAUCCCUUAACAGAAAAGCAUCCAUAGUACAUUAAACAAACUAUAAGAAUCCUCUGAAGGGGUUGGAUCUGAAGCAAAAUCAAGUAGGGGAAGAGUUAGGGAGCCUAUAUACCUCAAAGACAUUCUGAACUGCAGCAUAGUUUGAUCUGUUGCACAGAUUGCAGAUAAAUUGUGUGCAUUGUGUGCAAAAGACAUUGCACACAAUGCAGAUAAAGAACAUUCAUUCUUUAUUCAUAUACCACUUAGUAUACCACCAAGCUCUUCCAGGCAAUGCCAUCAAUUUUAAUUUAUUAACUGCUUUCUGAGCAAUGUGAUCUUUCCUCUGCUUCAAGGCUGUGGUAGCUGCUUUUGAUACUUUAUGUGUGAGUCAUCGUAGGGUUUUAAUUGUCAUACUAAUUGUGGCAAUUCAUGUCUCAUGUUGUCUUUUGACUGGAUUCUGCCUCCAAGUAAAUCUCAUAUAUGGAUGAAAUGAGCCCUCUUAUUGCAUUUACCUGGUUGCAGGACGUAAAAAAAUGUACUUUGCAGAAAUGCAAGUUGCUAAUAUGCAAAGACACUCGUGAUCACAGACCACUCGGUGGAUACAGAAUUGGCUGGAUGGUUGCACUAAGAGCUGUGGUUAGCAGCUCAAUAUCCAAGUGGAGAACAGUGAUGAGUGGUGUUCAUCAGGGGUCAGUACUGGGAGUGGUGCUAUUUAAUAUCUUUGUUCGUUACAUAGACAGUGGGAUUGAGUGCACCCUCAGCAAGUUUGCCAAGCUGUGUGGUGCUGUCAACACACUAAAGGGAAAGGAUGCCAUCCAGAGGAACCUUGACAUGACUGAGACGUGGGCCACUGAGAACCUCAUGAAGUUCAACAAGGUCAAGUGCAAGGUCCUGCACAUGGUUUGGGGCAAUCCUAAACACAGAUACAGGCUGGGAAGAGACUACAUGGAAAGCAGCCCUGAGGAAAGGGACUUGGGGGUGUUGGUUGACAAAACAACUCAACCAUGACCCGACAAUGUGCCCUCACAGCCCAGAAAGCCAACCAUGUCCUGGGCAUCAUCAAAAGGAGUGUGACCAGAAGAUUGAGGGAGGUGAUUCUCCUCCUCUCCUCCACUCUUGUGAAACCCCCACAGGAGCACUUCAUUCAGCUCUGGUGCCACCAACACAAGAGGGAUGCGGACCUGUUGCAGUGAGGGCAGAGGAGGGCCACAAAAAUGAUCAGAAGGCUGGAGCGCCUCCCCUGCGGAGACAGGCUGAGAGAGUUGGCCUUGUUCAGCCUGGAGAAGGCUCGGGAUAGACCUUGCAGCAGCUUCCAGUGGCUAAAGGGGACCUAUAUGCAAGGUGGAGCAGGACUUUUUACAAGGGCAUGUAGGGAUAGGACAACGGGGAAUGGCUUGAAACAAAAAGAGGGUAGGUUUAGAUUAUAUAUUAGGAAGAAAUUAUUUAUUGUGAGGGUGAUGAGGCGCUGGCAUAGGGUGCUCAGUGAAACUGUGGCUGCCCCAUCCCUAGCAGUGUUCAAGGCCAGGUUGGUGGGACUUUGGGCAACCUGAUCUAGUCCUGAAGUUAUCCCUGUCCUUGGCAGGGCAGCUGGAACUAGAUGAUCUUUAAGGUCCCUUCCAACCCAAACCUAUGAUUCCAUGACUUGAAGAUCUGAAGACCCUAUUCAGGGCUUAGUUUAAAGUUAGUGCUAGGAAACAGAUUUUGUUAUAGAAUCCGCAACUCUGCCAAUUCCUUCUGACUGAAGUGCUUGAUAAGAAACAUGGAACAUUAUGGUCAAAAGGAAUUACAAGGACAAAAUUAAAAGCAAAUUAAGAAAAGACAGGAUGGAGUCACAAGAUCUUUUCGCUGCUAAAACUACUGGAAAGCUAAACUACAUCCUGCCACUUAGACAAUAAUUUCAACUUUCUUCUUUUCUCCUUCCCUUUCUUACAAUGUUGUUUGCAUGCAAUUACAUUAUUGGUUCAGCUAGGAUGAAAAGUGAAUCUUCUCUUUCUCCA